CAAAGUUGAUGUCUUAUACGCGGCAUUGCAAAUGACAGCCAAAUCCAUUUCGCUCAAGUUAGCCAGUUGGGAAUCAAGAAGAGAAACGCGUACAAUGUUUCCAGGACAGUGGUUGUAUCCAUCUUGUCCAGCUGACUCACACACUGAGCAUCUAGGGCAUUCAAUGCCAUGGCAUAUUUGGGAGUCGCUGCAUUAGCUCUAUAACUUGAAGCGUGAAUAAUCAGAGCUGGUAACUGGGAGGCGGCUGUCUUCUCCACCGAUCGCUGGAAAUAACGAUCAUCUGUUAUGGGAAAAUAGUCAGCAUAGCGAAUGGUGGUCGGCGACAGGACAUGAUUCUCGUCCUUGUACCUUUCAACGGCAAUGUGCUUUGCGAAACGGGCGAGCAAAGUGCCGGCUUCAUCCGAGGUCUCCCGCACCACAUCUCGAAGUGUAAAGGAAGCAUAACCCUUGGAGCUGGAACCAAUAGAGACUCCGGCCAAGCGGCGGAGUAAACCGUACAUAAUGUAUGUAAUAUUUAUGUAAUGAAUUCACUAAAAACAAAAACGUGCGCCCUGAGAGUGUUAACUUCUGUUUCAGUGUUGGACAAUAUCUAAUUUUAGUUCAAAACAUGCUGGUAUGACACUAAUCUUUCUUUUGUACUAAAUUUACUUAUUAAAUUUAAAUGUUAUCACAGAA